CGGAAGAUCGUAGAGUUCCUUUGGUCGCAUACAAGCUGAAAGGAGGAGCCGGUGCAUGGUGGCAUCGCGUUCAAGAGGAGCGCAGGCUGAGAGGAGAACCUCGUGUUAGAACUUGGCGACAAAUGAAAGGCCUCUUGAAAGGGAGAUUUUUGCCCGUUGAUUAUGACCAGAUCCUAUUUAUCCAAUUUCAAAAUUGUGCUCAAGGAAAUAGGACUGUUUCAGAUUACACGGAGGAGUUUCUAAGGCUACAAGUGAGGUGCAACCUUGCUGAAACUGAAGAGCAACAAGUUGCAAGGUACAUCAAUGGUCUCAAUGAUGCUAUUUAA
rnacentral:rRNA from 1 species